ACCCAAUAGAUACCCGGGUAGUCCACGCCCUAAACGAUGCAUAUUUGGUGUGGGCAGUUCAUUCUGUCCGUGCCGGAGCUAAACGCGUUAAAUAUGCCGCCUGGGGAGUACAGUCGCAAGGCUGAAACUCAAAGGAAUUGACGGGGGCCCGCACAAGCGGUGGAGCAUGUGGUUCAAUUCGACGCAACGCGAAGAACCUUACCUGGGCUCGAACGGCUGGCCAACGGCGGUGGAAACAUCGCUACCCCGCAAGGGGGUCCAGUCGAGGUGCUGCAUGGCUGUCGUCAGCUCGUGUCGUGAGAUGUUGGGUUAAGUCCCGCAACGAGCGCAACCCUUGUCCUGUGUUGCCAUACCGAAAGGUGGAACUCGCAGGAGACCGCCAGGGAUAACCUGGAGGAAGGUGGGGAUGACGUCAAGUCCUCAUGGCCUUUAUGUCCAGGGCUACACACGUGCUACAAUGGACGGUACAAAGCGCAGCGAACUCGCGAGAGGGAGCCAAUCGCAAAAAACCGUUCUCAGUUCGGAUUGCAGGCUGC
rnacentral:rRNA from 1 species